rnacentral:rRNA from 1 species
UACGUAGGUGGCAAGCGUUGUCCGGAUUUACUGGGCGUAAAGGGAGCGUAGGUGGAUAUUUAAGUGGGAUGUGAAAUACCCGGGCUCAACUUGGGUGCUGCAUUUCAAACUGGAAGUCUAGAGUGCAGGAGAGGAGAAUGGAAUUCCUAGUGUAGCGGUGAAAUGCGUAGAGAUUAGGAAGAACACCAGUGGCGAAGGCGAUUCUCUGGACUGUAACUGACGCUGAGGCUCGAAAGCGUGGGGAGCAAACAGGAUUAGAUACCCCUGUA